CUUUCAAUUGCUUUUGUUUUGUUUGUUCUGUACAUUUUGACAAUCACCUUGAUUUUCAAUGGGGUUGCAUGAUUUUUAUUGCAACUGUAUAUGUGUGCAGCUUUUAUUUAGUUCUCUUUGUUAGCUUACAAAGUGUCAUAUUAAGUAAUAAAUGGUAAAAUAUAUACACGGAACGAAGGUCCUUUGCGUGUGAAAUGGAAAUAAUUGGCAAAAUGUGCUUAACGAACCAUCAGUUAACAGUGAUUGCAAAUGUGAAUACAGUAUAUUGAAAUGCUGUCAAUCAGGAUUAUUCACUAAAGUCCAUUUGGAUUGCAAAAUCCAGCGUUCAUGCUAUUUAACAAUGUCUGGGUUCUGAACAAAUUCAGCCGUCUCAAACGUCGCCAGAUGACUGAAAUUCGGGCCAAAUUUUAAAAAUCCAAACAAUUUGCAGUUUUGGGAAUCAUUGGGAAAAUAGUUUUUAAAAAAAAUGUUGGCACUGCAUAGGGUUAAUUCUGUUUUUAAAAAUAAAUAAAAAAUAAGCAUAGUGGGGAUAUUAUGGCCAUAUCCACCUCCUAUGUGCCAUGUUUCGGUUGGGGUCGGAGGACUUACUAAACAGUAACUAAGUACUAGCUGCCCAGUCGCUACAAAAUCCCCA